UAAGAGGUACCGCCUGCCCUGUGACUAAAAGUUUAACGGCCGCGGUAUUUUGACCGUGCAAAGGUAGCGCAAUCACUUGCCUUUUAAAUGAGGGCCUGUAUGAAUGGCAUAACGAGGGCUUAACUGUCUCCUCUCCCUAGUCAAUGAAAUUGAUCUCCCCGUGCAGAAGCGGGGAUAAAAACAUAAGACGAGAAGACCCUGUGGAGCUUUAGACCAUAAAUAGACCAUGUCAAGGACAACAACAAAUUACUCAAACAAAUUGGCUACUGUUUUUAUGUCUUUGGUUGGGGCGACCGCGGGAAAAUAAGAAUCUCCCAUGAGGAUAGAGAAAACCCUAUUCUUAUAACCAAGAGCUUCCCCUCUAAGUAACAGAACAUCUGACCUUUAUGAUCCGGCCUGGCCGAUCAACGGACCAAGUUACCCCAGGGAUAACAGCGCAAUCCUCUUUUAGAGUCCAUAUCGACAAGGGGGUUUACGACCUCGAUGUUGGAUCAGGACAUCCUAAUGGUGCAGCCGCUAUUAAGGGUUUGUUUGUUCAACAAUUAA
rnacentral:rRNA from 1 species